rnacentral:rRNA from 1 species
CGGAGGGUGCAAGCGUUAUCCGGAUUCACUGGGUUUAAAGGGUGCGUAGGUGGGCAGGUAAGUCAGUGGGGAAAUCUCCGGGCUUAACCGGAAACUGCCAUUGAUACUAUCUGUCUUGAAUACCCUGGAGGUGAGCGGAAUAUGUCAUGUAGCGGUGAAAUGCUUAGAUAUGACAUAGAACACCCAUUGCGAAGGCAGCUCACUACGGGAAUAUUGACACUGAGGCACGAAAGCGUGGGGAUCAAACAGGAUUAGAUACCCUGGUAGUCCACGCCCUAAACUAUGGAUACUCGACAUCAGCGAUAAACUGUUGGUGUCUGAGCGAAAGCAUUAAGUAUCCCACCUGGGAAGUACGAUCGCAAGAUUG